AUUGGAAUGCCAAGGUCAAGAGGAUCAUUCCUCCUUAUUGCAUUUUUUUCCCUAAUAACAGAUUAGGAGGAACUGCAAGCAUCUCUGUCAUCUCUAGAGCUUUAAUAUAGUAGUUUGUUUCAGUUAGUACUGCUGAAUAAUAUGUAAUGCAUGAUAUCUUUUGUGUGAAGCAAUAUUUAUAUCACAAAUGUUUGGAAAAUGCGUCAUUAAAAGUGCUGGUAUUAAUAAUGACCAUUAUUCAUCACUUCGUACAUAGAGUUAACUUGUUCUUUUUUAGGACUUUGACUGAUGGUAUCUUUGAAUACUAAGCAAACUUUUUUCAUGAAUAGGUUGUCUGAGGACUGAAUGGAUCUGUUUACAGUAAACACAAUUUUUAAGAAGAUAACUGAUUCCCUCACUCUCUGAAUCAAAGUGGAAAAAAUAAGUAAAAGACUGCAAGAGGAAAAAGGCAAAGGACAAUCCUACAGAAUUUAUUUUCUUGCAAAAGAGAUGCAAAGAACAGUGACCCUUUGGAAAACUGAUUAAAUGUUGAUUUUGAGUUUUUGUUAAUUUUCUUAUAUAGACACUUGAGGACUAUUUUUCAAAUAUCCUUGGAAAAAUCAGUUCUACAAAAAGUUUUGUUAUGGUUUGUUUUUUUCCAUUUCUAUAGCUUUCUACAAAUAAAAGUUAAAUAUUCUGUUAAAGUGAAAACUAAAGGAUAUGCUUUACUGUAGUGGAUGUACUGAUACUGUGAUGAUGGAUGAGUAAACUGAGAAUUUGUUGAUUGUAAGCUAGUAUGUUGUAAGUAAUAUAUCCAGAUGGUCAAGAAUACUAGGUCUGUCAUUUUAUGUUUUGCUUCAUUCUAUUGUUCAAUUUUUUAAUUUUACUUUGCAUAUAAAAUUUUUUCUUACACAUAAAUUCAUCAAAGUAUGCAGAAAACUUCUUAAUAGUUUUAGUCAUGGAUAGUAGGAAUAUAGCUGUCUUUAAAUGAUUGGUAAAUGUAUGUUGGUCAUUUAUGUUAGUCACAUUUUUAAUCCAAUGAGACAAUUUCUCUAGUAUUGUCUGCUGAGAGAUGUGGCUGGAGUAGGGGAUUCUACUCAUUUUCUUUGCACAGAAAAGACCAUUUUCUGUUGGGAUGUUCAGCAUCGGAUGCUGCCUGCCUGGUACACCUUCCCUGUCUGUAUCAAAUGUGACCUGUUCCUCUCAGCUUUCAGGCCAUGCUGUAGGCUCCAUCUGUCGCAUUUGAGUUUUCAAAAUUAAGGCCAUCAAGGCAUAAACUAAGAAGCAGUGCUAGUAGGUGACAUGAAUUGUUAAUAUUUCCUAGGUACUAAUGUGACUUGACUAGAAGUUUUGUGAUUUUUCUUUCAAGUUUAUAACUGGUAACAUGCUUAGACUGCAUAAAUUACUGGGAGGUUUUUGACACCAGCGAUUAAUUGCUGAAAGCUUAACAUUUCAUAAGAUUGUGCAUGCACGUGAUUUUAAAAAGUUUCACCUUCAAUUCAGUGGGAAAACAACCCUGUGACUAAUUUAAAUAAAUUUAACAACCUGU